AUUACGGGGUAGCAAUAUUCCGUAGUCGGAGCGGCGCAAGGGUGCGUAACACGUGGGUAAUCUGCCAUGAAGUUUGGAAUAACUCGCUGAAAGGCGAGCUAAUGCCGGAUGUGAAAGCUGGGAGGCAUCUCCUGGUUUUCAAAGCUGGGGACCGUAAGGCCUGGCGCUUCAUGAUGAGCCCGCGGCCUAUCAGCUAGUUGGUAAGGUAACGGCUUACCAAGGCUAAGACGGGUAGCUGGUCUGAGAGGACGACCAGCCACACUGGAACUGAGACACGGUCCAGACACCUACGGGUGGCAGCAGUCGAGAAUUUUUCACAAUGGGCGCAAGCCUGAUGGAGCGACGCCGCGUGGGGGAUGAAUGGCUUCGG
rnacentral:rRNA from 1 species